rnacentral:rRNA from 1 species
GCGCAGCAGUCGAGAAUACUUUACAAUGUGCGAAAGCACGAUAAGGGAACUCUGAGUGCCUCCUAAGGAGGCUGUUCAGGUGUCUAAAAGCACCUGAAGGAAGGGCUGGGUAAGACCGGUGCCAGCCGCCGCGGUAACACCGGCAGCCCAAGUGGUAGCCACGUUUGUUGGGUCUAAAGCGUCCGUAGCCGGCUGGGUAAGUUCCUUGGGAAAUUUGGCUGCUUAACAGUCAAGCUUUCAGGGAAUACUGCCCGGCUUGGGGACCGGGAGAGGUCAGAGGUACUCCAGGGGUAGGGGUGAAAUCCAUUAAUCCUUGGGGGACCACCGGUAGCGAAGGCGUCUGACCAGACCGGGUCCGACGGUGAGGGACGAAGGCUAGGGGCGCGAACC